GGGUGUGUAGCUCAGUUGGUAGAGCAGCUGACUCUUAAUCAGCGGGUCCACGGUUCGAGCCCGUGCUCACCCACCA
rnacentral:tRNA from 9 species